GUUGGCAGGCGGCGGCGGUGGCGUCCGAACGACGCGCGUGGCGGUUCUGCUGCUCCCCGAGGAGAUUUACCGUUGGCAAUAACGGAGCGCGCUGUCGAAUUGCAAAUGCGUGAGACGGAGGCCAAUGCAUAAAUCUGCAAACUGGUUCCAUACGCGCUUAACCCUUUCCCGUUUCCCGUUCCGAUGACGUACGUGUACGUCAUCGGAACGUGUACGUGUACGUCAUCGGUUUUUCUUACCGAUUCCGUACACCUACGUGAAUUAAAUAAGUUUAUCGAUACCGAGGCUCCCACAAGGCCAUGCGGGAGGGCGUGCGGCACAGUUUGGCACCGGCUAUCGUAGAGCGCGGUCGUGUCACUACGGGCCUCUGCGCCGCUUGCGCUCCGUGGCGUUUGCUCCCUCGCCUCCACGACGGUGACCGCGGAAGUUGCCGCCACUGUGGAAAGCAGCACCAGGUGGCAUUAGCCCAAGGGGAAUAUGCCGCUUUGUCAAGAGGUGCAUCCGGUCUCUACUCUCUGAUGCCAUGCGCCAGGUGAAAUCGGAGGACCCGGAGAAAAAUCCACGCGACCACGGGAAAAACAUGAAAGCUC